UACGGGGGGUGCAAACGUUGCUCGGAAUUAUUGGGCGUAAAGAGCUCGUAGGCGGCCUGUCGCGUCGGUUGUGAAAGCCCGGGGCUUAACCCCGGGUCUGCAGUCGAUACGGGCAGGCUAGAGUUCGGUAGGGGAGAUCGGAAUUCCUGGUGUAGCGGUGAAAUGCGCAGAUAUCAGGAGGAACACCGGUGGCGAAGGCGGAUCUCUGGGCCGAUACUGACGCUGAGGAGCGAAAGCGUGGGGAGCGAACAGG
rnacentral:rRNA from 1 species